rnacentral:rRNA from 1 species
UACGAAGGGGGCUAGCGUUGCUCGGAAUCACUGGGCGUAAAGCGCACGUAGGCGGCUUUUUAAGUCAGGGGUGAAAUCCUGGAGCUCAACUCCAGAACUGCCUUUGAUACUGGAAAGCUCGAGUCCGGAAGAGGUGAGUGGAACUGCGAGUGUAGAGGUGAAAUUCGUAGAUAUUCGCAAGAACACCAGUGGCGAAGGCGGCUCACUGGCCGAUACUGACGCUGAGGCACGAAAGCGUGGGGAGCAAACAGG